rnacentral:rRNA from 1 species
AACGCGAAGAACCUUACCUGGGCUUGACAUCCGUGGAACCUGGUGGAAACACCGGGGUGCCUUCGGGAGCCACGAGACAGGUGCUGCAUGGCUGUCGUCAGCUCGUGCCGUGAGGUGUUGGGUUAAGUCCCGCAACGAGCGCAACCCUUGUCCUUAGUUGCCAGCGAGUAAUGUCGGGCACUCUAGGGAGACCGCCUCGGUCAACGGGGAGGAAGGUGGGGACGACGUCAAGUCAUCAUGGCCCUUACGCCCAGGGCUACACACGUACUACAAUGGCGGAUACAAAGGGUAGCGAAGCCGCAAGGUGAAGCCAAUCUCAAAAAAUCCGUCCCAGUCCGGAUCGGGGUCUGCAACUCGACCCCGUGAAGUCGGAAUCGCUAGUAAUCGGAGAUCAGCAUGCUCCGGUGAAUACGUUCCCGGGUCUUGUACACACCGA